rnacentral:misc_RNA from 1 species
GAAAUACGAUAAGUAAUGUGAAUUGCAGAAUUCAGUGAAUCAUCGAAUCUUUGAACGCACCUUGCGCUCCUUGGUAUUCCUUGGAGCAUGCCUGUUUGAGUAUCAUGAAAUCUUCAAAGUAAAUCUUUUGUUAACUCAAUUGGUUUCUACUUUGGUAUUGGAGGUCUUUGCAGCUUCACACCUGCUCCUCUUUGUUCAUUAGCUGGAUCUCAGUGUUAUGCUUGGUUCCACUCGGCGUGAUAAGUUAUCUAUCGCUGAGGACACUGUAAAAGGUGGCCAAGGUAAAUGCAGAUGAACCGCUUCUAAUAGUCCAUUGACUUGGACUAUACUUUUAUGAUCUGAUCUCAAAUCAGGUAGGACUACCCGCUGAACUUAAGC